UGGCUCUGGGGAGGGCAAUGUCGGUCUGUCUGGCAGUCCACUACCUAACUACUGGAUGGAUUGCCAUGAACUCCUCAUGCACAGGUAGCAAUUAUUAGGCCGUAACGAUCAAUUUCUGCUUACUCUACUUUUAGUAGUGGGGGAAGUUUACCUUGUUAUUUUUAUUGAUAUUUUUAUAUUUUAUAUAAAUAUAUGAAUUGUUUCUAUUCAAUGUGUUUGGUUACUUCAUAAAUAUCAUUUUACACAUCCAGAAGCAAUAAAUAUACAUAAUGUUGUCAUGCAUUUCCUUUAAGCUCUGAAAAGGGCAAACUGUUGCCAAAACAUCAGUCGGAGUAAAGUCUAUAUGCUGUAUCUGUCAUUCCAAAGUGAUCCUGCUUUCUUUGCAAGUAAUUAUACUUAGUUUGUUAGUUUGCUAAACACCUAAAUUGUUUAUUUAUUAUAGCUAUAUCCAGCCACCAUAGCUUUGUAGAGUUAUAUGGUUUGCAGAAGUGAGUUGAUUUGACUAAGUUAGAUGAGUACAUGAUAAUGAUAUUCUACAGUGAGGGAACAUGUAAUAGGUGCAUUUGGGUAUUUACAAUACUACAUUAUAUAUUUGUCAUAUGUAUGUCAUGCAGACAUUCCAUAUAUAGGCUUACCAUCCUAAAUCUUAAUUUAAUCAUACAUUCAAAGAUGGGUGGUCAGUCUCUCUGUAAUGCUACUUACACAAUGACAUUCUAACAUUUUUAUCUUUCUUUUUCAUCACUGUCAGCGUUCGCGCUGUCUAUUGUAACCCAGUCUCUCUGCUUUGCUCUUCCUCUUAGCCAGCAGUGGUGGACAGAUGGCAGGAUCAAACCCCAUCAAACAUUUACAACCUCACAGACACAGCCUCAUCACACUCACUCCCUGACAUCAUAGAGGUCCACCCAUACCACCCCCACAUGUACAUACACACACAUGCACACACCUGCCCUAGUCGCAAGCUCAGAAAUCUUUCAAAUUAAGAGUUUGAUGGAGCUUUGACAGAAGUAUGAAUGGUAGAGUAGGUCUUCCUCUCUGCACUCAUCAACUCUAACCAACUAAAUUUUGAAGAAAAAAGGAUCGUAUGUGCUCUGCUAUACACUAUACUACUUAACAGCAUGUUUCCAUUACAUUGCUGAAAUUUUGGUCAAGGACUUUCAUCAUAUUGAAUCCAUCAAACUUGUUUUACUGCAGCCUUGAGCCCCCAGGGCCCUGUAUCUCAAACAAAAGGAGAAGGACGAUAGAGAGGAAGGGAGGACAGGGAUGAUGAGUCAAGGGAAAGAGAGAAAGAGAGUGAGAUGAGGAGGAGGAGGAGGAGGAUGACAGUGUUGAGGAGGAUGGGAAGAGAGAAGCACAGAUGAUUAGCAGGCGGGGGAGAAAGAGGAGGAGGAGGAGAGGUGGAGGAGGAGGAGGCAAAGGAACUAAAAUGGAUAGCUGCAUUGCUGUCAUGCUACAAUGUCCUUCAGGCUUUCACUGUAACAACAAGCACCCACUGAAUGAUGAUGAUAAUAUACAGCAAACUAUUUUACACAGAAAAAAACAUGACUUGUAGAACUAUGGAUGUAUGUUCAUGUAAGCAACCCACAAGUCCAGCAUCAUAAAUAUCAUUUCCUAUAUGCUGGACUUGUGGGUUCCUUACCUGAAUAAACACCCAAGCUGAGCUGCAUUGAACAAUGUUAUUUAGCCUGUACAUAAAGUGUAGUUUUUGACAUUUCUAUGCAGCGAUUGCAAUCUAUGCAAAAACACACUCACUCAAACACACAAAUAUACUUACAUGGAGAUAAAUAGACGCCAGUGUUAAAAAAAAAAAAUCUUAAUAAUGAUCAGUCUGUUUCUAUCCCAACAACCCCACAGAGAUUUGGUUGCCAAGUCAACCACGGCCACCUCGAUGACAACCAUGCAGUACUCAGCUUGUCGUCACCUCUAUUCUAUAUUCAACUGUUUGCUGCUUUUAUCAUGAAUUUGUAUUUUGAUUCUCUUCUCUUAGAAAAUGAGGGUGUCACAUGCUUUGGGGAUUACGGGUUGGCAUGUUUAAGUCACUGGUUUUGAUCAUAAGAUUACACUGUAUGUUAAGUCUAUAUCGUACCUUUUGUGACAGCGAGUCAAAUCCCUCGCUCAGUUUGGCUUGAUUUGCUCAGGAGCUUUUAAGAAUCUGGUAAGCAAUGACUACAGGGUCAAAGAGAACUCUGCAAAUUUCUAUAACAUGGUCUAACCAUGCACCCAGAAGAGAGCUGGAUGGUGCAGUGAUUUGGCAUAGUGGCAACAGUUAAAAUAUGCAGGUCACUUUUUGUUACACAUAUCCAUCAUAAAAGAGAAAGCUUCAAAAAUAGCUAUAAUCCAUAUUUUUAUAUUAACAAUUGAUCACAUGACUGCUUGUAUGCGAAAUGGUUCGUUAGUAUUGAUGAAUACAUUGAGAACUACUGUAUAUAAUCAUAUAUAUUAUUUAGAGAAUCAUCACCCGACUGCAGUUUCCCUCAACUCUACGGGGCGUUUUAACGUCUUUCAUCUCAUCUCUAUUUUAUUGAUCUGGUUCACUCCCACCACUCUCAUAGUGUCAUUUUCAGACGCAACAAGCAGCUGUCAUCAGUAAAAAAAAAAGCUCUGAUAAACCAGCUGUCUGCAACCUGCUCAGCACCAAACCACAGAAAGGCAAAGUUGGUGAACUAGUUGGUGAACAAAGUGGAGAUUUAGAAAGAUAUUUCCCUCAUGUGUUGGCAGAGACCAAAAACAGAGCUAAAAGAAGAGUUAAUAUUGGACUUACAUUCAUCAGAUGGACACAAACACAACUCCAAAUGAAUGCUAAUGUUGCUCCGUAUCUGUUGGCAACUGUUUGCUAACAGAUUCCCCAUAACAACUUAAAAAGUGAUAUUAUGUCAGUGCUGUGUUCAUGGCUUGUUUCCACUGCUCCCAAGUGGCCAAAAAUCAGUUAAAAACAAUGAAAGAAAUUACUCUUUGUGUUAUCACAAUUUGAGCCGUUGUUUCCAAUAUAAAUGUAAGAGUCAUAAGAGUCAGCUGUAAUAGCAUUAUUUCUGUGCCAUUUGGCAGUCCACCUGCUCAGUCUGAGAUUGACUCUGGAGGAGGAGAAGGAACGCACAUGCUAUGGGCCUAAAGAUUUUUUUCAGGAAAGAGGACAUUCUUCAGACAUUCUCUUAGGCAGAGCAAGGAGAGGAGUUUUAUUAAAAGCCUUUAUUUAGUCGGGCAUAUUGGUUAAAACGCCGACCAGUUUCAAUCUUUGUCAGGGAGAAUUUUUUUUGGGACGUAUUAAAGGGGUAGUAGUAUUGCACUUUUAUAAAGUUGGGGGGCUUAUUAGAAACAGAUCAAUAAAAGAAGAGAGGCUGUGUAGAACUACUCAUGAUGAGUUAACUGAACUUCAUGUGUAAAAUUGGUGGAGUGCCUCUUUAAGAGAACUGGAUAAGGUGUGGUGAGUCAGCUUUGCUGUCUGUUUACUAGUCUGCAUGUGCAGGAACAAGGAAGUAAACCAGGAGGACAGAAAACUUUUCUGGCAUUUGCACUGGUCAUUUUUGAUGUCCUGAUGCCUCCGAUUGCUAUGGGUAGCACGAAUCAGAUGAUGAGAUUACCAUGACAACAUGAGGGGCUGACGUGGGGGUUAUUUCUGAGGCCGCAGAGUCCGUGAAGACGAACUUUAUGACACUGGUGAAUCAUCAAGAGAAGCAGGACCAGACAAUGGGUGACCUCACCGUGUGACUGAACACCAACACUGGUAUCUCUGGUUACUGUCGUCAAAGCAACGAAUGUGUGUGUGUGUGUGUAAUCUGGUCUAGGCAUGGCCUUCGUUCCCUCUCCUACACACCUGCAACCAACUACCAAUCAAGCCUUGCCGCCACGCCUCCUGCACACCUGUGAUCCAUCCAAUCAUCCAGCUCCAGCAGUAUAUAACCCCGGCUCUCCUCUCUACUCUUCCCUGGCUUGUCAGCUAAUAUAAGUGGUACAGGCACAUGGCCAAGCUGUUAGCAUGCUGUUUGCUUGGCACGCUUUAAGUUUUUGAAUAUCCUGGUAACCUGUGUUUCUCCUUGUGCCUCAGGCUCAUACUCAUCUGUGAACCGUCUGCCUAUGAACCUGCCUGCCAGUCUGUCUGCCUGGACUUCCACUCGUACGUGUAUUGAUUUGCCGAUAACCUGCCUGCCCGCCUAGACUCCGUGUCAAUUAAAGACUGCCUGCCAAACCAGAUGACACCACUGUGAGAUCUUAGUCUACACUCAAGCCACUCUGUUAUCUGUGUGUGAAAUAAAUAGUUUGAACUUUGA